CGGGCUCUCCUCCUCGAUGCCUACAGGCACGGCGCCGCCGCCGCCGCCCCCACGCGCGGCCGCACGGCCGAUCUUCUUCCCCGACCCCGACCCUUUGCAAUUCUGUCUCCUUCCCCUCUCCAUCUGCCCAAAUCUUCUCCUGCGCCACCCUGAGCCUUCUCGGUCUCCAACCUCCUGCAAUCUUCAAGCCCACCGGCACCCAAUCCGCCUACAAUCUUCAAGCCCGCCAGCACCAAAAGCAACCAGCGGUCGAUUUGAGUGACCCCCGCUAGGAAUCCAUGGGAUUUGAGGUGGAUUUCCUAGGAGAGCGAGUAGGAAGGGUGAUGGUGGGGUUCAUGGGGAAGAUGAAGAAGCAGAAGGUGAUCCACGGCCCGCACGCGACGCCGAGCCACCACGGGCCUCCUCCCCUGCCGCUCGCCGCCAUGCCGGGACGGCGUACUGGGCCUUGCCGGAAGCCGAGGACAAGCGAGACAAUGGCCAUCCACCCUGGGCCAAGGACAAGCACAGAGCGACCAGCGGCGAUAACUAUGCUCGGACAGAUGGAUCCCGCCGCGGCGGAGUUCGAGGAGAACAGUAGCUGUGAUGACUCAACAAGAUGGAAGUGCGGGACAAGGGAUGAGUGCAAUCGGCUCAGGUAAACUCCUCCUGUACACCGUCUGGCAUUAGUUCCAGUUGCGCCCGAAGCUUUCAAUCUCGCUGCUCCACUUAGUUUGCCGAAACACUGUCGACAUGUGCUCCAUCCAAGGUACGCCAUCGUCCAAUUCUGUCAUCAGUUUUGAACUUUAAACUAAUGACUAAUGGGUCGGAGUGGCCAGGCCUGAAAGUUCAAGGAAGAUUCAGCUUACAUCUGAAUUCCUUUGUAUUGCCUACAAUGUUAUAGCUUAAAUUCUGCUAAUAAAUUUCUAUCAAUGAUGUUCCAAACAAUUUCUUAGAGAUAGGUUGUGCACAAGGAUGCACAUUGUAGAUCUGUUAACUUAAGUUUUGAAUAAUGAGAUAUGUUCAUAUGCUUUGCUCACUAUUAUUCCUAAUUUUCUCUGGACAUAAAGACUGAAGUUUAUUGCUUUUGUUCAGCCGAGUGCUACUUGAUCAGUACUUAACCAAGAUUGGCAGCCAUUAUAGCUGGUGUAGAACUCAGAUAUACACACUGAAAUGUUCCGAUAUGCCAAAAUAAACACAUUAGAAUCUUUUUAAUUAUAUUCCUACUAUUUUUUCGAGAUUGCUCUGCGGUAGCUAAUUUUGAUGUUCUGCUAUACUACUAUUGCAUAUAGAGAGAGAUCAGAGAGGAGAGCAGCAGCCCGCUGCUGCAAUUUUGUUCAUGCUGCUGCUUGGUUACUACACAUCUAUACAGAGAACACCGAGAAGGCUGCUGCUUGCUGAUUACAAUUGCUUCAUGAUAUGUACAUAUCCUUAUGUAUGCUGCUGCUAUGUACCCUUGAUCAUGGUGACAAGGAAUUGAUGCUGCAGCGGUAGGGAUCUGGUGGCCAUGGAGUGGCAGCCGCUACGUACAUACAUAACUCCAGCGAGUCAUGAUUGGUCCUGCAUGAUGCAUCCAUGGCUUAGGAUAAGAAAUGACUGUUUCCAUCUAACUGUUAUUUUUUUUCUAAAUCAAUUGAGGAGAACAUAUAAAGAAAAAACAAGUUACUCAUCCGAUUCAUUUGCGAAAUUCAGUACUUUCUUAUACUGCUCUGUUUUAGGAGACGAAAUAAAGCGAAAAAGAAAUUUCUAUGAAGGAUCUCUAGGGAGAUUUGGCACAUGAAGUUAAGGUUUGGUACAUUCGAUCUCCAAAAGAUAUGGUGAGACAUCUGAAUUAUGUUUCGUCUUCACAGACUAAUUUGACAUUUUACCUGGCUAUUUUCCCCAUUUGUUGCUGUAGCUAAUAGUGUUGAUAUAUAUCCCAUUGUAGUGCAUUCAUUUGUAAAUAAGGAUUUUAUGACCUUUGUUUGUGUUCCUGUCGUUAUCAUUAAGCUUGCUUCAUGUAAUUGUUAGCACUGCAAUCAGAUAUAAUAUUAAAUAUUUGUUGCAAUCAGAUAGUAUAUUAUCCUUCGAGUGAUCAUAGAUGUUCAAAAUGAUGUUUGUUACCACCAUGAGCUGUACUUUGCAAUGUAAGGAUAUACGACAUCUGUUUACUGUAGUAUAUUGCUACCAAAGCCCCUAUCUAUAUCACAUUUAAAAAGUAUUCUCUCGUGGCUUUGUAAGAUUUUCCUUUAUGCAAAUUAGAUUGCUUAUUAAUAGCAUUCAUAUUUCAAAUAUUCAUUGAUAUGAAUAACCAUGUAUAGACCACGAAAUGUAGUUGAUACACACGAGCCAUACAACGUUAGAUAUGAUUCUUACCUAAAUCCAGGGAAUGGCUGUAUUAAGUUAUUCAUGAUCCGAAAUGUUAUCCAUGUGAAUGUUUAUUUUGCAAUCUGUUGUAAAGCUAGGAAAUUUGUUGGCAAUAGUUUUUGUGUCGAGGUUCUUCUGUUUAGAUUCUAACUGAUAUGUAAGGGCAUACCGAUGAAUCAAAUAUUUAGAUGUUUUUUUCUUUUUGAGAUUUUGAACUUCAGGGGUGGGGGUGUCUUCAGUCAUGCUUAUUGGAUUAGGAUCU